rnacentral:rRNA from 1 species
UACGGAAGGUGCGAGCGUUGUCCGGAAUCAUUGGGCGUAAAGGGCGCGUCGGUGGCCCGGUCAGUUCGUGGUGAAAGCGCGGGGCUCAACCCUGCGUCGGCCAUGAAUACUGCCGCGGCUGGAGCACUGUAGAGGCAGGCGGAAUUCCGGGUGUAGCGGUGGAAUGCGUAGAGAUCCGGAGGAACACCAAAGGCGAAGGCAGUGUCCUGGGGAGUACCUGACGCUCAGGUGCGAAAGCCAGGGGAGCGAACGGG